CUGUUUUAAAGAAGAAAAAAGAAUGCAGAGGGCCUUUUACCCCCUCUCCCUCUUUUCCAUUUCCUCUGCCAGGGUUUACAAGAACCCAUCAUCGCAUUAUCAUCGGACCGCCAUACCACCACCGUACUUGGUGGCCGGUGAGGUGCAAGCAUGGGCCGUUCGGCCUUGUUCCAAAAGGAUCUCGAAGUCCUAGCCUUUUUUGAGUCGACAAGAACCAAAAGAAAGGACUCCACCGCCCUUUAGUCCCGACGACGGAGGAAAGGUCUCCGGCGAGACAAUCGCGGGUGAUUCCGGUGGUGUCAGACGCAUGGAAGGUCGGUGAUUGGCGCCCCAAGCGGUGGUGGCGCGCGUGAAGAGGCUGGUGGCUGAAGGCAUGCGGCUAGGGUUUUGCUCUUUUUUGUUUUUGCUGAAAAUUAGUUAAAGUUAUGGGCCAAUUGGGUCUUUAGGGUUUUAAUGAUUUUGGGCCUAUAUUGGGCUGUUGUAAUUGAUUUAGUUUGGAUUUAUUUUUUUGUAAAAGGCCCGGACUAAUUUGGGCUUCUACACAUGUUUCCACUCUUUGUCAUAGUUAUUUUUCUCAAAAGGUUAAAUGAAUUGCUUAUUGAUUAUAGAAGGAAUAA